ensembl:misc_RNA Y_RNA Y RNA
GGCUGGCCAGAAGGUAGUGAGUUAUUUCAAUUGAUCAUCCACAAUCAGUUACAGAUGGUUACAAAUCCAGCUUCUUGUUCUACUCCUUUCUCACUAUUGCACUUGACUAGUCUUAA